GUCAUAGCUUAGGGGCAGAGCAUUUGGUCUGAAUGCAGAAGGCCCUAGAUUUAAUCCCUAGUAUCUCCA